rnacentral:tRNA from 1 species
GAACCAUGGCUCAGUGGCAGAGCAUCUGCCUAGCAUGCAGAAGGGUCCAGGUUCAAUCCCUGGACCU